GUCCACGCAGUAAACGAUGAAUACUAGCUGUAUGCGAUAUACUGUAUGUGGCAAAGCGAAAGCGUUAAGUAUUCCACCUGGGGAGUACGUUCGCAAGAAUGAAACUCAAAGGAAUUGACGGGGGCCCGCACAAGCGGAGGAACAUGUGGUUUAAUUCGAUGAUACGCGAGGAACCUUACCGGGCUUGAAAUGCAUCUGACCGAUCUGGAACAGAUUUCUAGCAAUAAGCAGAUGUGUAGGUGCUGCAUGGUUGUCGU
rnacentral:rRNA from 1 species